rnacentral:rRNA from 1 species
UACGUAGGUGGCAAGCGUUGUCCGGAAUUAUUGGGCGUAAAGCGCGCGCAGGCGGUCCUUUAAGUCUGAUGUGAAAGCCCACGGCUCAACCGUGGAGGGUCAUUGGAAACUGGGGGACUUGAGUGCAGAAGAGGAAAGUGGAAUUCCAUGUGUAGCGGUGAAAUGCGUAGAGAUAUGGAGGAACACCAGUGGCGAAGGCGACUUUCUUGUCUGUAACUGACACUGAGGCGCGAAAGCGUUGGGAGCAAACAGG